rnacentral:rRNA from 1 species
CGGGUGAGUAAUGUCUGGGAAACUGCCUGAUGGCGGGGGAUAACUACUGGAAACGGUAGCUAAUACCGCAUAACGUCGCAAGACCAAAGAGGGGGACCUUAGGGCCUCUUGCCAUCGGAUGUGCCCAGAUGGGAUUAGCUAGUAGGUGGGGUAAUGGCUCACCUAGGCGACGAUCCCUAGCUGGUCUGAGAGGAUGACCAGCCACACUGGAACUGAGACACGGUCCAG